rnacentral:rRNA from 1 species
GACAGAGGGGGCAAGCGUUGCUCGGAAUUACUGGGCUUAAAGGGUGCGUAGGCGGUUAUCUAAGUCAGGUGUGAAAUCUCUCGGCUCAACCGGGAAACUGCGCUUGAAACUGGGUGACUAGAGUGAUGCAGGGGUGUGUGGAACUUCCGGUGGAGCGGUGAAAUGUGUAGAUAUCGGAAGGAACGCCAGCAGCGAAAGCGGCACACUGGGCAUUUUCUGACGCUGAGGCACGAAAGCUAGGGGAGUGAACGGG